rfam:Thalassiosira oceanica strain CCMP1005 To_g40176, whole genome shotgun sequence.
CAACCGGAUUUUUUAAAAUCCACCCAACUAUCAAAGUGCUGACACG